UAAGGGUGUUGAAGUCAGGUCAGGCUAGGUUAAGUUAGUUCAGGGGUUUGUGUUAAGAAGGGGGCUGAGGUCAAGUUAGGUCAGGUUAGCUGGGUGACCGAAACUAAGGGUGUUGAAGUCAGGUCAGGCUAGGUUAAGUUAGUUCAGGGGUUUGUGUUAAGAAGGGGGCUGAGGUCAAGUUAGGUCAGGUUAGCUGGGUGACGGAUACUAAGGGUGUUGAAGUCAGGUCAGGCUAGGUUAAGUUAGUUCAGGGGUUUGUGUUAAGAAAGGGGCUGAGGUCAAGUUAGGUCAGGUUAGCUGGGUGACGGAUACUAAGGGUGUUGAAGUCAGGUCAGGCUAGGUUAAGUUAGUUCAGGGGUUUAAGAAUGGCCAGGCAAAGUGAUGGGUUAGGUCAAGUUGGGUUAGGUGGGUCAGGUCAGGUUAGGUUAAGUUAGUUCAGGGGUUUGUGUUAAGAAGGGGGCUGAGGUCAAGUUAGGUCAGGUUAGCUGGGUGACGGAUACUAAGGGUGUUGAAGUCAGGUCAGGCUAGGUUAAGUUAGUUCAGGGGUUUAAGAAUGGCCAGGCAAAGUGAUGGGUUAGGUCAAGUUGGGUUAGGUGGGUCAGGUCAGGUUAGGUUAAGUUAGUUCAGGGGUUUGUGUUAAGAAAAGGUCUGAGGUCAAGUUAGGUCAGGUUAGCUGGGUGACGGAUACUAAGGGUGUUGAAGUCAGGUCAGGCUAGGUCAAGUUAGUUCAGGGGUUUGUGUUAAGAAGGGGGCUGAGGUCAAGUUAGGUCAGGUUAGCUGGGUGACGGAAACUAAGAGUGUUGAAGUCAGGUCAGGCUAGGUUAAGUUAGUUCAGGGGUUUAAGAAUGGCCAGGCAAAGUGAUGGGUUAGGUCAA